UCCCCGCUGCGGCGCCGCGCCUCCCGCCUCCCGCCGCCUGGGGCCCCGGCCCCCCCGGACCCGGGUCCCCGAUCCCCGCCCCGACCCCGGCCAUGGCCGGCCAGGGGGACUGCUGCGUCAAGGUGGCCGUCAGGAUCCGGCCGCAGCUGCCCAAGGAGAAGAUUGAGGGAUGUCACAUCUGCACCUCCGUCACCCCGGGGGAGCCCCAGGUGCUCCUGGGGAAGGACAAGGCCUUCACCUACGACUUUGUCUUCGACCUGGACGCCUGGCAGGAGCACGUGUACGCCACCUGCGUGCGCAGGCUCAUCGAGGGCUGCUUCGAGGGCUACAAUGCCACGGUGCUGGCCUACGGGCAGACGGGGGCCGGGAAGACGUACACCAUGGGCACCGGCUUCGACACGGCGGCGACGGAGGAGGAGCAGGGCAUCAUCCCCAGGGCCAUCGCGCACCUCUUUGGGGGCAUCGCCGAGCGCAAGCGGCGGGCACAGGAGCAGGGCGUGGCCGGGCCCGAGUUCAAAGUCAGCGCCCAGUUCCUGGAGCUCUACAACGAGGAGAUCCUGGACCUCUUCGACGCCACCCGGGACCCUGACGCCCGUCACCGCCGGUCCAACAUCAAGAUCCAUGAGGACGCCAACGGCGGCAUCUACACCACGGGCGUCACGUCCCGCCUCAUCAGCUCCCAGGAGGAGCUGAUCCAGUGCCUGAGGCAGGGCGCCCUGUCGCGCACCACGGCCAGCACCCAGAUGAACGUGCAGAGCUCCCGUUCCCACGCCAUCUUCACCAUCCACCUGUGCCAGAUGCGCGUCUGCACCCAGCCCGACCCGGUGCACGAGGGGGUGACCGGGCUUCCUGAGGGCGCGGCGCCCCCCAGGGAGUACGAGACCCUCACGGCCAAGUUUCACUUCGUGGACCUGGCGGGCUCCGAGCGGCUGAAGCGGACGGGGGCCACGGGCGAGCGGGCAAAGGAGGGCAUCUCCAUCAACUGCGGCCUGUUGGCCUUGGGCAAUGUGAUCAGCGCCCUGGGGGACCAGAGCAAGAAGGUGGUGCACGUGCCCUACAGGGACUCCAAGCUCACGCGGCUCCUGCAGGACUCGCUGGGGGGCAACAGCCAGACCAUCAUGAUCGCCUGCGUGAGCCCCUCCGACCGGGACUUCAUGGAGACACUCAACACCCUCAAAUACGCCAACCGGGCCCGGAACAUCAAGAACAAGGUGGUGGUGAACCAGGACAAGACCAGCCAGCAGAUCAGCGCGCUGCGGGCCGAGAUCGCGCGGCUGCAGAUGGAGCUCAUGGAGUACAAGGCGGGCAAGAGGGUGAUCGGGGAGGACGGCAGCGAGGGCUACAGCGACCUGUUCCGGGAGAACGCAAUGCUGCAGAAGGAGAACGGCGCCCUGCGCCUGCGGGUGAAGGCCAUGCAGGACGCCAUCGACGCCAUCAACAGCCGCGUCACCCACCUCAUGAGCCAGGAGGCCAACCUGCUGCUGGCCAAGGCCGGUGAUGGCAACGAGGCCAUCGGUGCUCUGAUCCAGACCUACAUCCGGGAGAUUGAGGAGCUGCGGACAAAGCUGCUGGAGAGCGAGGCCAUGAACGAGUCCCUGCGUCGCAGCCUCUCCCGGGCCUCGGCGCGGGGCCCCUACUCCCUGGGGGCUUCCCCGGCCGCCCCGGGGCUGGGGGGCAGCCCGGCCAGCGCCAUGGAGGAGGCCUCGGAGGUGAUCCGCAGGGCCAAGCAGGACCUGGAGCGGCUCAAGAAGAAGGAGGUCCGGCAGCGGAGGAAGAGCCCGGAGAAGGAGGCCUUCAAAAAGAGGGCGAAGCUCCAACAGGAAAACAGCGAGGAGACGGAUGAGAAUGAGGACAACGAGGUGGAGGAGGAGGAGGAAGAUCCGGAUGAGAGUGGCUGCGAGGAGGAGGAGGGGCGCGAGGACGAGGACGAGGACUCGGGCAGCGAGGAGAGCCUGGUGGACUCCGACUCGGACCCCGAGGCGAAGGAGGUGAACUUCCAGGCCGAUCUGGCCGACCUGACGUGCGAGAUCGAGAUCAAGCAGAAGCUGAUCGACGAGCUGGAGAACAGCCAGCGGCGGCUGCAGACGCUCAAGCACCAGUACGAGGAGAAGCUGAUUCUGCUGCAGAACAAGAUCCGCGACACGCAGCUGGAGCGCGACCGCGUGCUGCAGAACCUCAGCACCAUGGAGUGCUACACGGAGGAGAAGGCCAACAAGAUCAAGGCGGACUACGAGAAGCGGCUGCGGGAGAUGCACCGGGACCUGCAGAAGCUGCAGGCUGCCCAGAAGGAGCACGCGCGGCUGCUCAAGAACCAGUCGCGCUACGAGCGGGAGCUGAAGAAGCUGCAGGCCGAGGUGGCGGAGAUGAAGAAGGCCAAGGUGGCCCUGAUGAAGCAGAUGCGGGAGGAGCAGCAGCGGCGGCGGCUGGUGGAGACCAAGAGGAACCGGGAGAUCGCGCAGCUCAAGAAGGAGCAGCGGCGACAGGAGUUUCAGAUCCGAGCUCUGGAGUCCCAGAAGCGACAGCAGGAACUGGUGCUGCGGAGGAAGACCCAGGAGGUGUCUGCGCUGAGGCGCCUGGCCAAGCCCAUGUCCGAGAGGGUGGCGGGGCGCGUGGUGCCGAAGCCGCCCAUGCUGGACUCGGGCGCCGAGGUGUCCGCCAGCACCACCUCGUCGGAGGCCGAGUCGGGGGCCCGCUCCGUGUCCACCAUCGUGCGCCAGUGGAACCGGAAGAUCAACCACUUCGUGGGGGACCAGUCCGCUGUCCACGGCACCCGGCCUGCCAGGAAGAAGUUCCAGAAGAAGGGCGCCGGCCAGAGCUUCAGCAAGGCCGCGCGGCUCAAGUGGCAGUCGCUGGAGCGCAGGGUCAUCGACAUCGUCAUGCAGAGGAUGACCCUUGUCAACCUGGAGGCCGACAUGGAGCGGCUCAUCAAGAAAAGGGAGGAGCUGUUCCUCCUGCAGGAGGCGCUGCGGCGGAAGCGGGAGCGGCUGCAGGCGGAGAGCCCCGAGGAGAAGGGGCUGCAGGAGCUGGCGGAGGAGAUGGAGGCGCUGGCGGCCAACAUCGACUACAUCAACGACAGCAUCUCCGACUGCCAGGCCACCAUCGUGCAGCUGGAGGAGACCAAGGAGGAGCUGGACUCCACGGACACGUCGGUGGUCAUCAGCUCCUGCUCCCUGGCCGAAGCCCGCCUCCUGCUGGACAACUUCCUCAAGGCGUCCAUCGACAAGGGGCUGCAGGUGGCCCAGAAGGAGGCCCAGAUCCGGCUGCUGGAGGGGCGGCUGAGGCAGACCGACCUCGCGGGCUCCUCCCAGAACCACCUGCUCCUGGACGCCCUGCGGGAGAAGGCGGAGGCGCACCCCGAGCUGCAGGCCCUCAUCUACAACGUGCAGCAAGAGAACGGCUACGCCAGCACCGAUGAGGAGGUGUCGGAGUUCUCCGAGGGCAGCUUCUCCCAGUCGUUCACCAUGAAAGGUUCCAGCAGCCACGACGACUUCAAGUUCAAGGGCGAGCCCAAGCUGUCGGCCCAGAUAAAGGCGGCGUCGGCCGAGUGCCUGGGGCCCCCGCUGGACAGCUCCACCAAGAACAUCACCAAGUCCCUGGCCUCGCUGGUGGAGAUCACGGAGGACGGGGUGGGCUUCUCCGUGCGCGACCCCUACCCCCGCGACAAGGUCUCGCGCACCGUCAGCCUGCCCACCAGAGGCAGCACCUUCCCCCGGCAGUCCCGAGCCACCGACACGUCCCCUCUGACCCGGAGGAAGUCGUACGACCGCGGGCAGCCCGUCAGGUCCACAGACGUGGGAUUCACGCCCCCCUCGUCCCCGCCCACACGGCCACGCAACGAUCGCAACGUCUUCUCGCGUCUGACCAGCAAUCAGAGCCAGGGCUCCGCGCUGGACAAGUCUGAUGACAGCGACUCCUCUAUGUCCGAGGUCCUGAGGGGGAUCAUCACUCCGGUCGGAGCAGCCAAGGGCGGGCGGACGGCCCCGCUGCAGUGCGUCUCCAUGGCCGAGGGCCACACCAAGCCCAUCCUCUGCCUGGACGCCACGGACGAGCUGCUCUUCACCGGCUCCAAAGACCGCAGCUGCAAGAUGUGGAACCUGGUCACGGGGCAGGAGAUCGCCGCCCUGAAGGGCCACCCCAACAACGUGGUCUCCAUCAAGUACUGCAGCCACUCGGGGCUGGUCUUCUCCGUGUCCACCUCCUACAUCAAGGUGUGGGACAUCCGGGACUCGGCCAAGUGCAUCCGCACCCUCACGUCCUCAGGUCAGGUGAUCUCGGGGGACGCCUGCACAGCCACCUCCACGCGUGCCCUCACCAGCGCGCAGGGCGAGCACCAGAUCAACCAGAUCGCGCUCAGCCCCUCGGGCACCAUGCUGUACGCCGCCUCGGGCAACGCCGUCCGCAUCUGGGAGCUCAGCAGGUUCCAGCCCAUCGGCAAGCUGACCGGCCACAUCGGGCCCGUGAUGUGCCUGACGGUCACCCAGACGGCCAGCCAGCACGACCUGGUGGUGACCGGCUCCAAGGACCACUACGUGAAGAUGUUCGAGCUGGGGGAGUGCGUGGGGGGCACCAUCGGGCCCACCCACAACUUCGAGCCCCCACACUACGACGGCAUCGAGUGCCUGGCCAUCCACGGGGACGUGCUGUUCAGCGGCUCCCGGGACAACGGCAUCAAGAAGUGGGACCUGGAGCAGCAGGAGCUCAUCCAGCAAAUCCCCAACGCGCACAAGGACUGGGUGUGCGCCCUGGCCUUCGUGCCCGGCCGGCCCAUGCUGCUCAGCGCCUGCCGCGCCGGCCUCAUCAAGGUCUGGAACGUGGACAACUUCACGCCCGUCGGCGAGAUCAAGGGCCACGACAGCCCCAUCAACGCCGCCUGCACCAACAGCAAGCACAUCUUCACGGCCUCCAGUGACUGCCGGGUCAAGCUGUGGAAUUACGUCCCCGGACUCACCCCCUGCCUUCCGCGCCGGGUGCUGGCCAUAAAGGGCCGAGCCACCACCCUGCCCUGACCCCGCCUCCUCUCUCCUCCUCCCCCCUGUCUCCCCCUCUCUCCACUUCGAUCUGAGCUGCUCUCCACGUGACCUGACGGUGAAGUUCUGGAGCCUGCGGCGGUUACCCCGGGGCCCACCCUAGGGCUGAGGCCGGAGGACACCCCACGCCUCGGCCCCCACAGCCUGGAAGGCGUGGAGGGGACACCGGGGCCGAUGGGGCCAGCGGCCUGGGUGUGGACCGUGGCUGCGGCCCCUCCCUGCUCUCCUCCCCCCUCGGCCUCCCGAUGAUGGACAUGACCCCUGUCUCCCCCCACCCCCUGCCUCUUGGGGGGAGAGAGAGGUGGGGGGACAUUUAAGCUGUGACGCCCACGGGCAUUCCCCCUCUUGUUUCUCUCCUUGGCCAAGCAGCUCCCCACCCCACCCCACCCCCGUCCAAGCCUCUGGACACUGCUCCUGCCUCUGAGCCCAAACCACAGACCUCAGGUAACCACGGAAACAGGGGUGGGCGGCUGGCCCUGCCGCUGAACUCAGCCCCUUGGCGCUGCACCCGGCCGCCCCGGCGAUUCUCGGGGUCCCUCUCUGACGGCGAUUCUCGGGGUCCCUGUCUGACGGGGCCCGGGCGGGGCCGCUGCAAAGACUCCUCGGGCCGACGGGCAGCCCUCACUCCAUUAUUUAUUUUUAUUGACGCCUCCUGGACUUGAAGUUUCUUCCCUGCGGCUGUCCCUCUGCUUUUGGGGGCCAGGAACCCCACUGGGACCCACCCCACCGGCCCUCGGGGCCACCCCGUCUCUUGACUGCAGCUCAGGCUGCCACCACACUGCCCCGGGGCCACCCUGGUGACCCGACCCCCGGCCGCCUGGCGCUCCAGUGCCUUCCUCACCCGUCCGGGCCCGGCACCGCGCUGGGCACCCUGACACCAGCCUCCUGUCUUCUCACUCGGGGGAUGUCAUGCCCACGCCCCCAGAAGGCGGGGUGCCCCACCCCCAGCCCAGGGCCCCGUGGGAAGCAGCUCGGAUGCCGCCCCCCCAUCCGUGACCCCCUGGUUCCUAAGUCGUCGCUCAACCACUGAGCCACGCAGGCUGGGCAGGGAGGCAGUCUUAGCUGUGAACGGAACGCACCUGCUGAGACCUGUCCCCGCCUGUUUCCUCCUCUUCCCACCUGUUCCCACCUGUUCCCACCUGUUCCCACCUGUCCCCACCUAUUCCCACCUGUUCCCACUUGUCCCCACCUCUUCCCACCUGUCCCCACCUCUUCCCACCUGUUCCCACCUCUUCCCACCUGCUCCCACCUGUCCCCUGCUCUACUGGGGCCGCCCAGCCAAGAACAGUCCUGCCGUGCAUGGCCAGCUGGACGGGCGCAUGAACUCUCCCUCGUGCAGACAGACGCGCCCUUGCCGACCCGCAGGACCGUCUGCCUUCCACGCUGGAGACCCCUCUCCCGGCCCUCAAGGGGCAUCCCCGGCCCCCCCACCUCCACAGAGAGCUCCCCCUGUAGGAAGACUCGCAUGCAUGAUGUUCACACAGUGAUGAAGAGACUCCGAGAGAGACUGCUGUCCUCGCCGGGCGGGCGGGCGGGCGG